CGGAGAAGGCUAUGUUGGCCGGGCGACGGUUGUCCCGGUUUAAGCGUGUAGGCUGGUUUUCCAGGCAAAUCCGGAAAACCAAGGCUGAGGCGUGAUGACGAGGCACUACGGUGCUGAAGCGACAAAUGCCCUGCUUCCAGGAAAAGCCUCUAAGCAUCAGGUAACAUCAAAUCGUACCCCAAACCGACACAGGUGGUCAGGUAGAGAAUACCAAGGCGCUUGAGAGAACUCGGGUGAAGGAACUAGGCAAAAUGGUGCCGUAACUUCGGGAGAAGGCACGCUGAUAUGUAGGUGAAGCGACUUGCUCGUGGAGCUGAAAUCAGUCGAAGAUACCAGCUGGCUGCAACUGUUUAUUAAAAACACAGCACUGUGCAAACACGAAAGUGGACGUAUACGGUGUGACGCCUGCCCGGUGCCGGAAGGUUAAUUGAUGGGGUUAGCGGUAACGCGAAGCUCUUGAUCGAAGCCCCGGUAAACGGCGGCCGUAACUAUAACGGUCCUAAGGUAGCGAAAUUCCUUGUCGGGUAAGUUCCGACCUGCACGAAUGGCGUAAUGAUGGCCAGGCUGUCUCCACCCGAGACUCAGUGAAAUUGAACUCGCUGUGAAGAUGCAGUGUACCCGCGGCAAGACGGAAAGACCCCGUGAACCUUUACUAUAGCUUGACACUGAACAUUGAGCCUUGAUGUGUAGGAUAGGUGGGAGGCUUUGAAGUGUGGACGCCAGUCUGCAUGGAGCCGACCUUGAAAUACCACCCUUUAAUGUUUGAUGUUCUAACGUUGGCCCGUAAUCCGGGUUGCGGACAGUGUCUGGUGGGUAGUUUGACUGGGGCGGUCUCCUCCUAAAGAGUAACGGAGGAGCACGAAGGUUGGCUAAUCCUGGUCGGACAUCAGGAGGUUAGUGCAAUGGCAUAAGCCAGCUUGACUGCGAGCGUGACGGCGCGAGCAGGUGCGAAAGCAGGUCAUAGUGAUCCGGUGGUUCUGAAUGGAAGGGCCAUCGCUCAACGGAUAAAAGGUACUCCGGGGAUAACAGGCUGAUACCGCCCAAGAGUUCAUAUCGACGGCGGUGUUUGGCACCUCGAUGUCGGCUCAUCACAUCCUGGGGCUGAAGUAGGUCCCAAGGGUAUGGCUGUUCGCCAUUUAAAGUGGUACGCGAGCUGGGUUUAGAACGUCGUGAGACAGUUCGGUCCCUAUCUGCCGUGGGCGCUGGAGAACUGAGGGGGGCUGCUCCUAGUACGAGAGGACCGGAGUGGACGCAUCACUGGUGUUCGGGUUGUCAUGCCAAUGGCACUGCCCGGUAGCUAAAUGCGGAAGAGAUAAGUGCUGAAAGCAUCUAAGCACGAAACUUGCCCCGAGAUGAGUUCUCCCUGAGACUUAGAGUCUCCUGAAGGAACGUUGAAGACGACGACGUUGAUAGGCCGGGUGUGUAAGCGCAGCGAUGCGUUGAGCUAACCGGUACUAAUGAACCGUGAGGCUUAACCUU
rnacentral:rRNA from 1 species